rnacentral:rRNA from 1 species
AGUGAACGCUGGCGGUAGGCCUAACACAUGCAAGUCGAACGGCAGCACAGUAAGAGCUUGCUCUUACGGGUGGCGAGUGGCGGACGGGUGAGGAGUACAUCGGAAUCUACUUUUUCGUGGGGGAUAACGUAGGGAAACUUACGCUAAUACCGCAUACGACCUACGGGUGAAAGCAGGGGAUCUUCGGACCUUGCGCGAUUGAAUGAGCCGAUGUCGGAUUAGCUAGUUGGCGGGGUAAAGGCCCACCAAGGCGACGAUCCGUAGCUGGUCUGAGAGGAUGAUCAGCCACACUGGAACUGAGACACGGUCCAGACUCCUACGGGAGGCAGCAGUGGGGAAUAUUGGACAAUGGGCGCAAGCCUGAUCCAGCCAUACCGCGUGGGUGAAGAAGGCCUUCGGGUUGUAAAGCCCUUUUGUUGGGAAAGGAAAGCAGCAGGUUAAUACCCCGCUGUUCUGACGGUACCCAAAGAAUAAGCACCGGCUAACUUCGUG